rnacentral:tRNA from 1 species
GGAGGGUAUAGCUCAGUGGUAGAGUGUGUGCUUAGCAUGCACGAGGUCCUGGGUUCAAUCCCCAGUACUUCCA